GAUCUGUUUACAAGUUCCAAUCUUUUAACGUUAUAAUAUUAUCAUUUGUGGUACAUUAUAUGUAUCAAAAUCACGAGUUUUUUAAUAGUGCUUUAACAUUUAAUCAUAGUGACAGAAUGGGGAAAGAAAACAUAAUUAACCUAUAAUUCGAAUCUAAAGUCACGUGGAUGGAAAUUCAAAUUCGUAGACGUUACGUUUUGGCUGUCGGUCAGGAAUCGGGAUGCAUUGAUAAAGUGAAUAUUAUAGAUUUUCUUGAACAAAAAGGUAGUUAAAGUGUUGGACAUGCUCUCAAAGGUCGGAGGGACGGAAACACGUGAAUAUGUAAAAAGAAACAUAGGAAAUGAAAAUGAUGUCACACACGUUAUUGGACGCUACAAACGCUACAUAUCCUCCUGACAGACGAGGGGUGCUGAAAGAAGGUCAUAUCUUAAAGCAUCACACCUCAAAAUUCGUGCUAAUUCUCAUGGAUAUCUAAAAGUAUAACUUUGUGAAGUAACUAAAAGGCAGCAAUUUAUACAUUACUGACAAUUAUCAAAGGGGGUCAAAAUAUGCAAAAUGGCACUAAAUGUUUUAGAAAUGCUGUAGAAAUAUAGUUUAAAUACUGAAAAUCUGUCAUUAAUUGCUUGAAACAUUAUUAUCAGAAUCUUUUAACUUUUCUUAAAAUUAUAAUAUUUUCAUUAUUUUAUUUGAUAAGGCAAACUUUGAUAGAAAUGUGCAUACAUUGUUUUGUUCUUUAAUAUUUGUACAUGUUUUCUUAGUUUCAUUUAUGUCAUUGUUUUUGUAAUACUUUUUGUUUUGUAAUUAACUUAUUUUAUGUUUUAUUUUGUUUAAUUUAUGAAAAUUAUUUAACCUUGCAGAAUUUACUAAAAUUGUAUGUAUCAGCUUAAAAUUGCAACUUUUAUUUUAAAUUAAAAAAGCAUAAAACAUAAUUUUGCUUUUAGUUUUCUGUUAUACAUUUCAUUGGAGGGAAAGUUACUUAAUAGAAUGAGUUACAUUAAAUUCGAUCAAAUCAUGAUUAGCCAGAAAAUAUUUAUGAUGUGGUGAAACAAAAAAAGAUUAGGGGAAUGAUCAGAUGAAGGUCAGAAAAUGAUCAGAUUAAGGGCAGAAAAGGGUUAAUAUUUAGGUCGGAAAAUGGUCAGAUUGAGGUCGGAAAAUGGUUAGAAACUGGUUAGGUUUAGGUCGGAAAAUGGUCAGAUUGAGGUCGAAAAAUGGUUAGAUAAUGGUCAGAUUUUGGUAAGAAAAAGGUUAAAUAAUGGUUAGAUUCUGACUUCUACCUGACGUCAGAUUAUUACGUCAAAAAAACUUUCAAAUCCAACCGUUUUUCCGACCGUCAUCCGACGUCAGAACCUGACUUAAAUCUGACGUCAGGAUGA